rnacentral:rRNA from 1 species
UACGUAGGGGGCAAGCGUUAUCCGGAUUUACUGGGUGUAAAGGGAGCGUAGACGGCUUUGCAAGCCAGAUGUGAAAGCCCGGGGCUCAACCCCGGGACUGCAUUUGGAACUGUGUGGCUAGAGUGUCGGAGAGGCAGGCGGAAUUCCUAGUGUAGCGGUGAAAUGCGUAGAUAUUAGGAGGAACACCAGUGGCGAGGGCGGCCUGCUGGACGAUGACUGACGUUGAGGCUCGAAAGCGUGGGGAGCAAACAGG